AUUGCCUCACUCCCUCCACCUUGCCGCUAUUCUCUCUCUCUCCAAAUCUCCCUGUUGCUCUUGAACUCUUUCUCAGAAGUGAUCGUGAUUAGUACAAUAACCUCCAUUUCCUCUCGAAAUCCUCUCUCUUCUCUUUCUAGAUCUCCCUCUUGCUCUUAAACUUUUUCUCAGAAUGAUCGGAACAGAGGUUUGCUUGUAAGGGAAGGCGGAAUCCCUCCGUUGGUCGCUCUCUCACAGUCCUGAAGUGCCCGAGCGAAGCACAAGUGCGAACUACACAAUGGACAUACCCCAUGAGUUGGUGAUUCUUUUUGUAUCACAUAUGCAAUUGUUACAGAUGAGUUGAUACGAACUUUGAGUUUGGUUGUGCGACUCCACAGGCUGAAACAUUACUUGGGUAUCUGAGAGAACCGAGGCAAGAGGCAUCCUCUUCUAAUCCUGUGGAGAGGUAAUGAAAUUUCGGCAAUGGGUACUUGUGUUUUUAACUGUGUACAUUGCUGAGUGAGUGUUCUGAUAAUGGUUUUGUUUGUAAAGUCAGUGUACCAUGAACUGACUUGUAGGGUCAUCUAAACUAAAGAUUUUGAGUGUCCAUGUCUUGGUGGUUUCAAAAUGGAUUUUGGCUGUGAUCCUGGGUUUUGUCUUGUUUUGUUUGGGAGAGCCAAAUUUCUACUGAAACACACAAAAGAGGUUUGAUGGAGGCCUUUCAGUAGUAUCUAGUAGGGAAGUAGUGAGUCUGAGAGAGAACCGGAAGAAGGGGCCUUGAGUUAUAUUUCUGACAGAUUGUGUUGAGUGUGUUGGGGCGGUGUGAUAUAAUCAUUUAAAUGGUCCAAUGAAACCUUAACUACAUUUAUAAAUGUGUUGGGUGAGUUGUGUCUUUCUGUUGAUCUAUCCUUCCUCGUUGACCAAAUGAUUGGAUCCUCAUCCUAUCCAUAACAUUAACAUUGAAGGGCACCUCUCUUUCUGUUUUUUGCAUCUUUGUUUCGUGUGUGCACCAUCAUGUGAAUUGUUUGGGUUAUGGCUUUAUC